UAAACAAGUGAUGUUGACCGUCACGUGUCACGUUUUGAUUGAAUGUCAACUCCAUAAAAGAUUAAAUGUAUUGUUAUUUUCAUUGACCAAUCAGAACAUGACACGUGACAGUCAUAAUCC
rfam:Glycine soja cultivar W05 scaffold599_13, whole genome shotgun sequence.